ensembl:lncRNA
CAUGGGUGCAGGGUGCAGGGUGUUCUAUCACGGGUGCAGGGUGUUCUAUCACGGGUGCAGGGUGUUUUAUCAUGGGUGCAGGGUGUUUUAUCAUGGGUGCAGGGUGCAGGGUGUUCUAUCAUGGGUGCAGGGUGUUCUAUCACGGGUGCAGGGUGUUUUAUCAUGGGUGCAGGGUGUUCUAUCACGGGUGCAGGGUGUUCUAUCACGGGUGCAGGGUGUUUUAUCACGGGUACAAGGUGUUCUAUCACGGUUGCAGGGUGCAGGGUGUUCUAUCAUGGGUGCAGGGUGUUCUAUCACGGGUGCAGGGUGCAGGGUGUUUUAUCACGGGUGCAGGGUGUUCUAUCAUGGGUGCAGGGUGCAGGGUGUUUUAUCACGGGUACAAGGUGUUCUAUCACGGUUGCAGGGUGCAGGGUGUUCUAUCAUGGGUGCAGGGUGUUUUAUCACGGGUACAGGGUGUUCUAUCACGGGUGCAGGGUGCAGGGUGUUUUAUCACGGGUGCAGGGUGUUCUAUCACGGGUACAGGGUGUUCUAUCAUGGGUGCAGGGUGCAGGGUGUUUUAUCACGGGUACAGGGUGUUCUAUCACGGGUACAAGGUUUUCUAUCAUGGGUGCAGGGUGUUCUAUCACGGGUACAAGGUGUUCUAUCACGGGUACAAGGUGUUCUAUCACGGGUACAGGGUGUUCUAUCACGGGUACAGGGUGUUUUAUCACGGGUGCAGGGUGUUCUAUCACGGGUACAGGGUGUUCUAAGAUGUGUGCAGGGUGUUCUAUCACGGGUGCA